rnacentral:rRNA from 1 species
GAAACGGUUGCUAAGACUGGAUAGGAAACAGAAAGGCAUCUUUUUGUUUUUAAAAGACCUUCUUCGGAGGGUAUGCUUAAAGAGGGGCUUGCGCCACAUUAGUUAGUUGGUGAGGUAAAGGCUUACCAAGAUUAUGAUGUGUAGCUGGACUGAGAGGUUGAACAGCCACAUUGGGACUGAGACACGGCCCAAACUCCUACGGGAGGCAGCAGUAGGGAAUUUUCGGCAAUGGAGGAAACUCUGACCGAGCGACGCCGCGUGAACGAUGAAGUAUUUCGGUAUGUAAAGUUCUUUUAUUGAAGAAGAAAAAAUAGUGGAAAAACUAUCUUGACGUUAUUCAAUGAAUAAGCCCCGGCUAACUAUGUGCCAGCAGCCGCGAUAAGACAUAGGGGGCGAGCGUUAUCCGGAAUUAUUGGGCGUAAAGGGUGCGUAGGCGGUUAGAUAAGUCUAUAAUUUAAUUUCAGUGCUUAACGCUGUCUUGUUAUAGAAACUGUCUUGACUAGAGUGAGAUAGAGGCAAGCGGAAUUCCAUGUGUAGCGGUAAAAUGUGUAAAUAUAUGGAGGAACACCAGAAGCGUAGGCGGCUUGCUGGGUCUUUACUGACGCUGAGGCACGAAAGCGUGGGGAGCAAACAGGAUUAGAUACCCUGGUAGUCCACGCUGUAAACGAUGAGUACUAAGUGUCGGGGUAACUCGGUACUGAAGUUAACACAUUAAGUACUCCGCCUGAGUAGUACGUACGCAAGUAUGAAACUUAAAGGAAUUGACGGGACUCCGCACAAGCGGUGGAUCAUGUUGUUUAAUUCGAAGAUACACGAAAAACCUUACCAGGUCUUGACAUACUCUGCAAAGCUAUAGAAAUAUAGUGGAGGUUAUCAGGGAUACAGGUGGUGCAUGGUUGUCGUCAGUUCGUGUCGUGAGAUGUUAGGUUAGGUCCUAAAACGAACGCAACCCCUGUCGCUAGUUGCCAGCACGUAAUGGUGGGGACUUUAGCGAGACUGCCAAUUAAACAUUGGAGGAAGGUGGGGAUAACGUCAAAUCAUCAUGCCCCUUAUGAUCUGGGCUACAAACGUGAUACAAUGGCUAUUACAAAGAGUAGCUGAAACGCGAGUUUUUAGCCAAUCUCAAAAAGGUAGUCUCAGUACGGAUUGAAAUCUGCAACUCGACUUCACGAAGCUGGAAUCGCUAGUAAUCGCGAAUCAGCAUGUCGCGGUGAAUACGUUCUCGGGGUUUGUACACACCGCCCGUCA